rnacentral:rRNA from 1 species
GACGAACGCUGGCGGCGUGCUUAACACAUGCAAGUCGAACGGAAAGGCCCCCUUGUGGGGUACUCGAGUGGCGAACGGGUGAGUAACACGUGAGUAACCUACCCUUGACUUUGGGAUAACUUCAGGAAACUGGGGCUAAUACCGGAUAGGAGUUCCUGCUGCAUGGUGGGGGUUGGAAAGUUUCGGCGGUUGGGGAUGGACUCGCGGCUUAUCAGCUUGUUGGUGGGGUAGUGGCUCACCAAGGCUUUGACGGGUAGCCGGCCUGAGAGGGUGACCGGCCACAUUGGGACUGAGAUACGGCCCAGACUCCUACGGGAGGCAGCAGUGGGGAAUAUUGCACAAUGGGCGGAAGCCUGAUGCAGCAACGCCGCGUGCGGGAUGACGGCCUUCGGGUUGUAAACCGCUUUCGCCUGUGACGAAGCGUGAGUGACGGUAAUGGGUAAAGAAGCACCGGCUAACUACGUG